AGCGAACGUUUGCGGCGGGCCUAACACAUGCAAGUCGAACGCACUAGCAAUAGUGAGUGGCGCACGGGUGCGUAACACGUGGGUAAUCAACCCUUCAGCUUGGGAUAACGACUUGAAAGGGUCGCUAAUACCGGAUACGGCGCGGGAGGCUUCGGCUUCUCACGAGAAAGCCUCGCAAGGGGUACUGAAGGACGAGCCUGCGGCCCAUCAGCUAGUUGGUGAGGUAAGAGCUCACCAAGGCGAAGACGGGUAGCUGGUCUGAGAGGAUGAUCAGCCACACUGGAACUGAGACACGGUCCAGACUCCUACGGGAGGCAGCAGUGGGGAAUAUUGCGCAAUGGGCGAAAGCCUGACGCAGCCACGCCGCGUGAGCGAUGAAGGCC
rnacentral:rRNA from 1 species